rnacentral:rRNA from 1 species
AUUGAGGCGUAAGCGCGCGCAGGUGGUUUCUUAAGUCUGAUGUGAAAGCCCACGGCUCAACCGUGGAGGGUCAUUGGAAACUGGGAGACUUGAGUGCAGAAGAGGAAAGUGGAAUUCCAUGUGUAGCGGUGAAAUGCGUAGAGAUAUGGAGGAACACCAGUGGCGAAGGCGACUUUCUGGUCUGUAACUGACACUGAGGCGCGAAAGCGUGGGGAGCAAACAGGAUUAUAUACCCUGGUAGUCCACGCCGUAAACGAUGAGUGCUAAGUGUUAUAGGGUUUCCCCCCCUUCCUGCUGAAGUUAACGCA